rnacentral:rRNA from 1 species
AUUGAACGCUGGCGGCAUGCCUUACACAUGCAAGUCGAACGGCAGCACGGGUGCUUGCACCUGGUGGCGAGUGGCGAACGGGUGAGUAAUACAUCGGAACAUGUCCUGUAGUGGGGGAUAGCCCGGCGAAAGCCGGAUUAAUACCGCAUACGAUCUACGGACGAAAGCGGGGGACCUUCGGGCCUCGCGCUAUAGGGUUGGCCGAUGGCUGAUUAGCCAGUUGGUGGGGUAAAGGCCUACCAAGGCGACGAUCAGUAGCUGGUCUGAGAGGACGACCAGCCACACGGUGACUGAGACACGGCCCAGACUCCUACGGGAGGCAGCAGUGGGGAAUUUUGGACAAUGGGCGAAAGCCUGAUCCAGCAAUGCCGCGUGUGUGAAGAAGGCCUUCGGGUUGUAAAGCACUUUUGUCCGGAAAGAAAUCCUUGGCCCUAAUACGGUCGGGGGAUGACGGUACCGGAAGAAUAAGCACCGGCUAACUACGUG